rnacentral:ncRNA from 1 species
GUGUUCAAUUAAAGGAGAGAUGGUUGUCAUCUCCCAUGACGGGUCGGGAACAGCCUCUCCCUAUUAAUAAUACGGAUACUUUUUUU